AGGUCUCUAACAGAGAAUCCAAGACUGGGAUUUUUUUAAAGCUCUCUCCCCUUCCCCACCUUGAGUGUACAAUGGAGAGUGCUAGUGUGGUGUCACGUGGUGCAACAUGGCUCAGUGUUGUGUGAAACUAAGAUUUGGGGCAUAUUUUAUAAUGAACAUAACAUAUGAGCAUAACAGUCGUGAUUAACGUAUACAAUUAAAGAUAUGUGGAAAUGACUCCAUCUCCGGCCACACAUCCUCGGUGUCAUUUUGAUGGGGAUGGCUUAUGUUCUACUGCCACCUCGUGGUGGGCAUUCUGUGAACAUGCAUCUUGGAACAGUGGGGAGAACCAGUUUGGACUUCUGAGGAUCCAAAAGCCCAAGAAAAAAAUCUGAGUUCUCACGACAGAGUCACUUCCUGCCACAACACCUGGAAAAUGUCAUGACACGAGCUAGUCUCACUUCAGAGUCCCUGGUUUCUAGUACGGUGCCUGGCAGAUAGAUGACUUUCUUUAUAUGUUGCUGAAGAAAGGCAGAGAGGAAGAAAGAAGAGAGGAUAAAGGGAGGAAUAAACUUGAUAUAAGCAUCUUUGCAUAAUUAACAACUGGGUCAAAUUUUCCAUUUCAUUGAGAUUCUUGAUACAAGCCUCUGCUGAUGAAUUGGAUACCAAAAAGAUAUUGUUGUCCAGGCCACACCAUACGGGACUUACCACUCCCAGUUGCUAACAUCUGCACGUAUUUGCCUGGAGGUCUCCUCUGGUCACCAGAGCCUACUCUGCCUGGGCCACAUGACAAGGUGAUGUGCUAAGGAACAAAAGUCCCCAGGAGUAUCCCUCAAGCAGUGUUGGACUGGAGUUGAGCAGGUCAUGAUCCACAUGAAAAACUGAGGGAAGACAUCCAGGACCUGUUGGAGAGCACAUGCAAAGAAGUUGGGGCACAGAAAAGGAAAGCAGCAAGAGUCGGGCAGAGAUUGAUCCCCAAGGAACUUGGAAUACCAUGGGAAAGGUUAAUCGUCCUCGAAGAGAGAGAGAAACAAAAGAAAAAUGAAAAAAGGAAAGAUAUUUUCUCCACAAAGACUCAGAAAAGCUACAAUCCUAAGAAGUCAAAACUAUAAUGGGCUUGAGUUGAAGACUCCAAGGAUCUUUACAGUUAUGUGACCUGUCCAAGGUUCCACAGCUCACCUUUUCAUUUUGCACUGGGCCCAAGUUAUGUAGCCAGCCUGCUUAGAGAUCUCU